AGCAGCCGCGGUAAUUCCAGCUCCAAUAGCGUAUAUUAAAGUUGCUGCAGUUAAAAAGCUCGUAGUUGAAUUUCGGGACCAAUAUGUCGGUCGUGCCUCGGUACGUACUGGCAUCGUUGGUUUCUCCCUUCUGACGAACCAUGAUGUCAUUUAUUUGGUGUCGUGGGGAAUCAGGACUGUUACUUUGAAAAAAUUAGAGUGUUUAAAGCAGGCUCACGCUUGAAUACAUUAGCAUGGAAUAAUGAAAUAGGACGUUUGAUUCUAUUUUGUUGGUUUCUAGGAUUGACGUAAUGAUUAAUAGGGAUAGUUGGGGGCAUUAGUAUUCAAUUGUCAGAGGUGAAAUUCUUGGAUUUAUUGAAGACUAACUACUGCGAAAGCAUUUGCCAAGGAUGUUUUCAUUAAUCAAGAACGAAAGUUAGGGGAUCGAAGACGAUCAGAUACCGUCGUAGUCUUAACCAUAAACUAUGCCGACUAGGGAUCGGAUGAUGUUAAUUUUUUAAUGACUCAUUCGGCGCCUUACG
rnacentral:rRNA from 1 species